UAUUAUGGAGAGUUUGAUCCUGGCUCAGGACGAACGCUGGCGGCAUGCCUAAUACAUGCAAGUCGAGCGAACUGUUGGAA
rnacentral:rRNA from 1 species